rnacentral:rRNA from 1 species
CCUACGGGUGGCAGCAGUGAGGAAUAUUGGUCAAUGGCCGCAGGGCUGAACCAGCCAAGUCGCGUGAGGGAUGACGGUCCUAUGGAUUGUAAACUUCUUUUGUCUGGGAGCAAAGUGUGCCACGUGUGGCGUUUUGUGAGUACCUUAAGAAAAAGCAUCGGCUCACUCCGUGCCAGCAGCCGCGGUAAUACGGGGGAUGCGAGCGUUAUCCGGAUUUGUUGGGUUUAAGGGGUGCGCAGGCGGAAUGUUAAGUCAGCGGUAAAAUUUCGGGGCUCAACCCCGACGUGCCGUUGAAACUGGCAGUCUUGAUUGAGCGAGAAGUAUGCGGAAUGCGUGGUGUAGCGGUGAAAUGCAUAGAUAUCACGCAGAACUCCGAUUGCGAAGGCAGCAUACCGGCGCUCAACUGACGCUCAUGCACGAAAGCGUGGGUAUCGAACAGGAUUAGAUACCCUAGUAGUC